UAGGGAAUCUUUGGCAAUGGACGAAAGUCUGACCGAGCAACGCCGCGGGAGUGAAGAAGGUUUCUGGAUCGUAAAACUCUGUUUUUAGAGAAGAACAAGGACGUUAGUAACUGAACGUCCCCUGACGGUAUCUAACCAGAAAGCCACGGCUAACUACGUGCCAGCAGCCGCGGUAAUACGUAGGUGGCAAGCGUUGUCCGGAUUUAUUGGGCGUAAAGCGAGCGCAGGCGGUUUCUUAAGUCUGAUGUGAAAGCCCCCGGCUCAACCGGGGAGGGUCAUUGGAAGCUGGGAGACUUGAGUGGAGAAGAGGAGAGUGGAAUUCCAUGUGUAGCGGUGAAAUGCGUAGAUAUAUGGGGGAACACCAGUGGCGAAGGCGGCUCUCUGGUCUGUAACUGACGCUGAGGCUCGAAAGCGUGGGGAGCAAACAGG
rnacentral:rRNA from 1 species